GAUUGAAGGCUGAAAUUCGCCUUCAUGAAGCUGGAAUUGCUAGUAAUGGCAGGUCAGCAUACUGCCGUGAAUACGUUCCCGGGCCUUGUACACACCGCCCGUCACACCAUGAGAGUUGGGAAUACCCGAAGCCUGUGAGCUAACGAAAGAGGCAGCAGUCGAAGGUAGAAUCAAUGAUUGGGUGAAGUCGUAACAAGGUAGC
rnacentral:rRNA from 1 species